GACGAACGCUGGCGGCGUGCCUAAUACAUGCAAGUAGAACGCUGAAGAGAGGAGCUUCCUCUUCUUGGAUGAGUUGCGAACGGGUGAGUAACGCGUAGGUAACCUGCCUUGUAGCGGGGGAUAACUAUUGGAAACGAUAGCUAAUACCGCAUAACAAUGGAUGACACAUGUCAUUUAUUUGAAAGGGGCAAUUGCUCCACUACAAGAUGGACCUGCGCUGUAUUAGCUAGUAGGUGAGGUAAUGGCUCACCUAGGCGACGAUACAUAGCCGACCUGAGAGGGUGAUCGGCCACACUGGGACUGAGACACGGCCCAGACUCCUACGGGAGGCAGCAGUAGGGAAUCUUCGGCAAUGGGGGCAACCCUGACCGAGCAACGCCGCGGGAGUGAAGAAGGUUGUCGGAUCGUAAAGCUCUGUUGUAAGUCAAGAACGGGUGUGAGAGUGGAAAGUUCACACUGUGACGGUAGCUUACCAGAAAGGGACGGCUAACUACGUG
rnacentral:rRNA from 1 species